rnacentral:tRNA from 1 species
CUUUUAAAGGACAGAAGUAAUCCACUGGCUAUAGGUACCAUCCACU